UUAACCCAAAUUUGUAUGCGGUUGGAACAGCGCCCCUAGUGGCAAACGUAGGCAAUCGUUCCAACUCCAUACAAUUUUGAGUUA
rnacentral:pre_miRNA from 1 species